GUGACAUUCAACAGCGAUCCAGUGAUAAUCUUAUGGUGUGUAGCGAUGGUCGCGUUUUUAAAUAGAAUUUUUCGCGAGAUAUCCUGAGUGGUAGUAAGAGCCAAUGGAGCCGUGUCACGUUUCUGUUCGUGUAGAGAAGCGAUGCUCUCGAUGAAGGUUUCGAUGGCGAUGAAGCGCUCCCUUAAAACUCUGAAGAUGCAGUCACCCCAUCUUGCCUUCGUACUGAAGCGGUGUUCGAUACCGAGAACGGUUAUAUUCUACCCCCACUAGGGGGAUUUCCGUGAUGCACAAGAUGGCCGGCGGGUACCGGGAAAUAACGCCUGCGCAACCCCGUUUACUCUAUACAACGGCAGCAUCUAUACUAUGGGUACUGAUUGUCAGUGCAUGAGAUUUCCUUGGGUUUUUGCCUUUGGAUUCCUACCGAGUCCCCAGCACCUUCAGCCUGACAUUUAUUCAGCCUUGAUGAGUAGCGUGCGGCACCUCUAUAAAGGAAUCAAAAUGAAUGUAGAGACGAUAAGGUACAAGAGGGAAAAGAUAUCCCUUAGGAAAUCCCUGUGAUAAUCCAAAGAUAUCAAAAGGGUCCAUUGGAUGAAGAGAUCUACAUUUUUGAGUCCACUUCAAGGACCAAGUAGGAACCUAACCCAGUAGGGUAGAACCACCUUCGGAUGAUGCAAUACUUUUGAGUAAUCCUGUAUGUGUAAGAAUUUAAUUUUGAAAUUUGUAACGAUCGAUUUUGCGCUAAAUUUGCCUGGACAUGUUGCAGAA